ACCAGAGAGGAGACACUAGCUCCAGGGAGGAGCCCUGCCUUCAGGUAGGAGUUCUGCCCCCAGGUGGAGCUCCCUGCCAGGCUGAGAAAACCCUGGAGCAGGCCUUCAAUUCACUCGUGAAGACUGAAGACAAGAAGUCUCUGCAGAGAGGCUCAGAUCCCAGGACAGACACCCCCAUCCGAGGCUGAAGUAGAAGCUGCAGGCUGCAAGACCACAGGCCAGAAAAGCGUGAGACCCUAUGUUCUGGCAAAGAGAGCCUGCAUUAAAGUUGAAGCCACAAGGUCUCUAAGCGGUUCCGCAACUGCUCACAGUGUUUAUCAAGCACAAUGGGAAAAACCUUAACUGUGCACAGGAGAAGCCUGGCAGACACCACCUUAUUCUGGGGACUGAGUUAACCUUGCCUGAAAUGGGACACACAAUACCUUGUGGCUCCAGGGAUGAUGCAUGAAGGCCAAAUAUAGCCUUUGAGGUAUUCUCACCCAAAAUGCACAGCCUGCAUCUAAUUGUCGGGAGACAUCAGACCAACCCAAAUUGAUGGCUGUUCUGCAAAAUGCCUAAUUGUGCUCCUCAGAGGUCUCAGGGGCAUGAGGGACAGGGAAGAGUGGAGAAGCCAGAGGCAUGGCAUCACCAAAAGUAACAAGGGACCCAGGAGGGGGUUCUGGGACAGAAAAGGGAUCUUGAUAGAAAAACGAAGGAAAGCUGAGUGACGUCCAGAGUGUGGUGAAUAGAACACAUUUAGUUUUGAACAAUUGGCAUAGUUAUGCACCACUGGGUUGGACGAGGGGACCCAGGACUCUCAGUGCCACUCCUGCGAUGUUUAUGAAAGUCUGAAAUUAUUUCAAAAUAAAAAGUUAAACCUGGGCAACAUAGCAAGACCCCCUUUCUUAAAAAACAAACAAACAUAAAUGAGCUGGGCAUGGUGGUGUGCAUCUGUAGUCCUAGCUACUUGGGACGCUGAGGCAGGAGGAUUGCUUGAG
rnacentral:lncRNA from 1 species